rnacentral:lncRNA from 1 species
CUCAUUUUGCUUCGUACAAAUACCCAUUUAUUUCCAACCGAGAUUACUCCCAACGGUGUUUGGACUACCAGUCCAAAUACUUUCCUUCUCAAUAAUGAUUGUAGCUCAGCUUGAAUAACAUCUUUCCAUUUUGGCCAAUCUUUUCUUCUCCUACUUUCUUCCACGUUUUGUGGUUCAGGAUCCAUGUCAGGAAUUAUAGUAAUAUCUGAUGCUAUAAAGAAAACAAAUAUAUCAUCAAUCAUGACUUUGCUUCAAUCCCAUAUUUUCUCAUCAUGUAACUAAUUUAUUGAGAUUUCUUAGUAUUCAUCUUUUGCCCAUUCGUUGAGAUUUUGUACCUCUUCUGGGGAUAUUCCCACUUUUAGAAUAAGUGCUACUUCUGGAGCGGGUAUUACUUUUGAGACUUCCUUAUUUACUUUUUGUUUUUGUGGUGUAUUGCCUUUUGCACCAACCAGUCUUCCACGCUUCUAGUAUGGUUUAGGUUCUUCUAUUGCCUUCUUUGUCAAAGAAUCUUUGAUGACAGGUAUUUAUAUUUUUACUGGAGUAUUCACUGUAGGUGUAUGUGACUCACUUUUUUAUCAUCAUUAAAUGCAUCUGGCAUUUGAUUUGCAAUAUUUUGUAAAUAAAUACUUCUUUAAACUUCAAUUUCACAUUGUAUUGUGCGAGGAUCAAGUGAAUUUAAUUUUGAUGCAUUCCAUGAUAUUUCGGAGGGGUUCUUAUUU